AUGGAGAUGGAAACUCUGGGAGAAAUCCAGGGCUCCCCCUCCACCAAACAUCACCCUCUGCUCCCUGAUUCCCAAGACCAAGGAGUGAUGUGUCCAGCUCAUCUUUGGAGCCCAGGCCAUGUUACAAGUCGGAUUUGUCCUUUCCUGCAGAAGCUCUCAGCCAGCAUUCUGACUGCCCAUUUCCAGCCAUCCAUCAUCACCUGCCAGGAACAGUUCCGAAGAUUGUGUGAUGGGCCUGAUGCCUGGAUAAUUCAUUCAUGAUACCAACAUGGAACAGGAAUGACUGCCCAAAGAAAAAUGUUUGUCUCUCCACUUUCAGAUACCCAGUGCUUGGUGUGUUACAGAUAUGCAAGAGAAAGUUAGAUUAAAGUAAAGAGGAAAGGAAAGAAGGAUGGAAGAGAAGGAGGGAGGGAGGGAAAGUAUUAUCUUUUCCUAGCCCAUUCAUUUUCCUUAUUAAAAGGGGUUU
rnacentral:lncRNA from 1 species